UUCAUGUUUGAGUUUGUCGUUAAUUUGCCCCAGGUGUCCAUGUUUAGUAUUAAUUAUGUUGGGUAUUUAAACCCCUCUGGUGGCCGCGCAUGUCGCGCGAUAUUAUUUGUAGCGAGAUAGCUGAGAUUGAGGGUCACCAGUAUUGAGGGUCACCAGUAUUGAGGGUCACCAGUAUUGAGGGUCACCAGUAUUGAGGGUCACCAGUAUUGAGGGUCACCAGUAUUGAGGGUCACCAGUAUUGAGGGUCACCAGUAUUGAGGGUCACCAGUAUUGAGGGUCACCAGUAUUGAGGGUGUAGCGUCUAGGUUUGACAUGCUAAAUGGUUUUUGUUGUCAUGUCCUGUUUCCUGCCUCGACUCUAGUUUUGUGUUUUCUCACUAGUCCUGUAUAGGCUGUGCUCCCUGUGUUUUGUUUGUUUGGAUUGUUAAAGACCUUGCUCCUGUGCUUACUUCCUGUGCACUGUCCUGUUUUGUUAUAGAAUAUUGUGCCCCAAGAUGGAAGUAGCAGGAGAGCACUGUCAGGAAAUUUCUUUUAUUGGAACUUCCUGACACUGGAGUACUACACCUGGCAGUGGAAGCAGCAGGAGGAAGCUGUGGUCAGGAGACACCAGGCAGAGUAUGAAGCUGUGCAAUGGAGGCAGCAGAUGAAGCGGUUAGAGGAAGAAGUAAAUCAGCUGCUCUGUAACUUACUGCUUCAACCCUGUCCUGUAGAGCAGAACUACGCUCCACCUUGCUGCCCUGUGGAAGAUCCAGUCAUGCUGCCCAGUCUGGAACUGAAGGCUAGCCCAGAAUUUUUUUUUGGGGGGGGGGGCAAUGGGGACAGUGGAGCUCCAGCCAGAGGCCUAUCUUGAGGUCUCAGCUGUUGAGCUCCCCAUGGAGGUCCACCCGGUGACCUCGGAGCUCCAGCCUGAGGCCUAUGGGGAGGUCUUGGCUGUGGAGUUCCUGCCUGCCGAAGAAGCCAUCCUGCUGCCAUGCACAGCCGAGGAAGCUGUCCUAUUGUCCAGCUCAGCAGUUGAAGAGGCCGUCCUGCUGCCAUGUCUGGCCGAGGAGGGUGUCCUGAGGGUUGGCAGUUUUGCCAUGAAGAAUGUACAAAAAUUUCAGGAUCCAGAUGUGCAAAGAUGAAGAUAUUUCAGAGAUGACUUGCAGCUGUAAUUGCUGCCAGAUGUACUGACCCUGGGGGUGUAUACAUAUCCAGGGCACUAUAAGCAGAGAAAAAUAAAAUCUGCACAGAAUGCAUACAUUAAAAAAAAUGUUAUGUAUUAAAAAUGUUAUUCAGUUGUAGUAGUUGAGAGAUGAUAGCAGUGCAGUUGGGACCAGCCACAGCAGAGUUGGAGUCCUGAGGUGAGGAAACAACCUGACCACCGCUUUUGAAAUGGAAGGGAGUGGGACUGUCUCCCCAGAUGGCAGGGAGAUUUGUAAGAAGACGCAUCAACUAGAAUUCUUACAUCUCGCCUGUUUAAAUUAUUUUAAUAAAUGUCACCUGAAUUUCAUGCAAUUGUUUUUGUUUAUUUUCUGAGCAUUUUAGUAGAACUUUAGCAUACAUAGUUAUUUUUUCCACAUUUGUGUGGAAAUGUUUAACACAUAGCGUGUGUUAAAUGUACUAAUGCACUGUGUUGAAAGAAAAACGUGUUGUCCUUAACUAGAUAUGCAGGUUUGUUAAAUUGUACAGUCACAAAAUCCAGGGAGUCAGAUCAA